UUGAGUUCAGCUGUUGCC
rnacentral:siRNA from 1 species